rnacentral:lncRNA from 1 species
UGUCGCUCCUUUAUCUCCUUUCCCCAAAACACAUCAAAUCCCAAAUUCCAUCAAAAUCAUCACCGAUCUCACCACUCUGCAUAUCAACAGCUUCACUGAUUUUGCAAAAUGGGUGUUUCGGUUUUGCCACACGGGUUGGAUUUGUUAAGCAUUUGAAGGAUGAUUUCAAGGAAUUGUUUCACUUGUUGGGUUAAUCAGUCAAUGGAUUACAUGGGGAAAUCCCACAUCGGUCGCGUGGCCUGCGAGAUUCUUGGUUCAUAA